GCCAUUAAAAAUUUAGUCCAAGGUCACAACCAUAGCAGGCAGCAGCAAAUAUACAAAUACAUAGGAAAAAAGUCAAAAAAUUUCUCUAUUAGCCAUUACUAACAUUCCACAUAUAACUAACAUAAGAGCAUAUAUAUACAGUACAUCUAGCAACUGCUUGCACAAUUGGCUAAAUCGUCGAUCGAUCGGAUGAGAUAAUGUGCUUAGAGAACUUUGAUUUUUAUCAACCAUCAUCAUGCCCAAUACUGUUGGGCUUAUUUCAUAAGCCAUUGAGUGGAAGCAGCUGACAAAUACCCUCAGGAAGAGGAAUGCUUUUUCCCUUCACAAUAAGGACUUUCAAUGAAAUUCUUAGAAGGGUAUUUAGCAGUAACCAUUCCAACUUCAAAAACCAAAUUCUCACCACUAGAUCUGAUACCCGUAAUUCCCCACCACUUAAAAAAAGCCCUUACACUAAUCCCAUCAAGCUCCGCAAUACGAUUCUCAACAAUUUUCCCCCUAAUUUUCUUCGAAUACGUCGCAAGGUAAUUGUCCGGAGGUAGAGUAAUUUUACACUUCUCACCCAAAGAAACUAAGAACUCGCCGGAACUGGAGUUCAGAGAAUACCCAUUAACGUUCCUUGGAAGCAACCCUAUAGGAAACCCGAAUCUGAUUAGCUCCUUGUGUGCCUCUGAUGGUGCCGGAUCCGGAUUCGGGUCAGGAUUCGGAUCCGGAUUCGAAGAAGAUACAGAAAUGGUGAAGAGGAGAAGAACAAUGGUGAAGAUUACUAGGGUUUUUGCCAUUUUUUUUGAGCUUAGCGAAAAAGGGGAUUAUUCGAU
rnacentral:misc_RNA from 1 species